UUGUGUCCGGUCCGGUCCGUUGAAGCAGUGAUGCAUCCGUUGAGAAUCUGUAUGGUUGUUAACAUUUUAACUCUUUGGUUUAAAAUGCUGAUGCUCUAGUUGCCCGUUCUUUAGUGAAUGCCUUAGUCCUGCUAAACGGCCCAGACAAAUGCUCUUCAACCAUUUUAAUAUUGUUACGUUCUGGAAGACAAUCCCUAGACACUCCUAGGACGUAACACCUGGAGUGUUUGAAAAGAAGUUUAUUCCACCGGUAAUGUUCAACCUCGGAAAAAGGAUCAACCUCUCAGCGACAGGAUUCAGGAUGACAGAUAGCACUAGGUGGAUUUCCCAAGGGAACAACGCCACAGCUGACAUACACAAGUCUCGGGGUGGCAGUAGAGUUUCUGGGAUCUGUGGCGGUUAUUGUGGAAAAUGCACUCCCUCCUCCAGCUCUGGACGUCUUGUUGACGUUUCAUACAUCAACGUCGCUAGUUGACGUUGUUACACUUGCAUCAAGUGUACU